AGUCUUCCCGGCAGCAGUGAGCUCUGUUCGUUUUUCUGAGUAAUAUGGAAAUGGCACGGCUCAGCCACACAAGGGCCUGGGCAAAGGUCACGGCCAGCAAAGAACACAGCCUGGGUCCUCUGAGUCCCGAGUCCACGCGAUCCUGACCCGUCCACCACCCUCCUCGAGACACGACAAGUUAGGCGGGAACAUAACCUGGGAGCCCCAUGUCGGUUUCAGGCUCCACAAGGGAUCUCUGGGUAAAGGGUUUGUCUCUUCCACAUCUGUUCAUUUAGGAGAAGCAAAGAACAUGGAAAGCAGAAUUCCUGGGGGUGGCCUCAACCCCAAGCCCUGCCGAUGCAAACCGGCACCUUGAAGAUGCCUUUGGAAUUUAACUGGAAGAUUUGAAUGACAUGGGCAGACACAGAAGAGGGAGAAGCAUUCCACAGGGGAGGAAAGGCCUCAGUGGGGACCUAUGGAGCUCCCAGGCCCACCGCAGGGAGGCAGGUCCUCGGUCAUCUGCGGAGGGAGAACACUUUCAGUCGAAGGAGCCUGGGACCCUUGACACAGAAGUGACAUGUGCAUUCGGAACCUCUCUGUGGAAAACACAGACCCUUCAUGACACGCAAACUCGAAGCCGGUGAGGCCGAGUCUCAGGGCUGCGCCAACCAGGAAGCCUGGCUGUCCAAUGUUCCAAAUCUGGAUGUGAAAUGGACCAUGCAGACAGGACCCAAGGGGCAUGGGGGAGCUGGCAGAGGCACCCGGGACAAGUGGGGAAGCACCUGUCGGCCAGGAAGGUAGAGAGGCACCUACCCCAGAACACGGUGCCAGCGUCACACUCUUAUUAACAGAUGCAAUAACCACCUUCGGAGACCAGACCCCUCAAAGAGCACUCAGCCCACAAUGUGACGCAGAGAAACCAGAGACCCAGGCAGGGAGUGCACCCACGGGGACACUCCGAGGGUGGCCUCCUGCCUGCCCUGAUUACUUAAAAAGGAGAUUCUUGGAAACCUUUGCGGGCCCACAGGUGCACCCUGACUCCCAGGGAUGGGGGCUGAGCCACCCAGGAAACAAAUAUGAAAUCAAAGAUCCAGACAGCCCUGACCCUCCUGAUUCCAGGGUCCAUAAAUAAGUCAUUCUUAAAA
ensembl:lncRNA PRKAR1B-AS1 PRKAR1B antisense RNA 1